rnacentral:lncRNA from 1 species
UCUCUCUCUCUCUCUCUCUCUCUACACGACGAAGCAAGCCAUCCAUGUCGUCUCCCCCCUCCGCCUACGCCUCCUCCUCGCCGCCGCCGUGCCCGAAGAAGAUGAUCACCCUGAGGAGCUCCGACGGGGCGACCUUCGAGAUCGAGGAGACCGCCGCCUUGCAGUCCAAGACCCUCGAGAACAUGAUCCACGAGAACUGCGCCAGCACCCCGAUCCCGGUGCCGAACAUCACCGGCAAAGUCCUGGCCGGAGUCGUGGAGUUCUGCAGCAAGCACGCCGAGGCCGGCGUCGACGACGAGAGCCUCGGCGCUUGGGACGAGGAGUUCGUCGCCGUCGAUCACACCACUCUCUUCGACUACAUCCUGGUCCGUACUUGUAUCUCCCUUUGUCAAUUUCGAUGGUUUUCUUUGUGGUGGAGUGCUGUUUCGUAUUUGCAACGAUGUUCGUAUUGCUGCACUUUUGGCUUCUGAGGAGUGAUCGGUGCUCGAUCUUGGAAUUCUUUGUUUUUCUCUCUUUCUAAGAGUGCAAGUGCUGCUCAAUUGCGCGCAUAACACGCCAUUAGGCAGCUCGAUUCCCGUCUCUGCAAGCAUCCCGAAUCUGCAUUUGCUGAGGUCACGAACUCAUGGCUCAGCUGAUGAAUUUUCGUCUCAAGAGCAUUGCAUUCUCCGGCUCUUGCCGCCCCCCUCGAACGGCUCCGCUAAACAAUGAGAGCCCGAUUCGACUAUUAUAAUGUUCCUGAAACCCAAACACCAGAGAUGGUUAAGUCCAAACCGAAGAGUUACAAUCCUGCCUGCUUGAUGAUGGGGAAACAGACAUAAGAAACGAAAAGCCCCAUCGUUUUAUCCCUUUUAAAAAGCACGCCUUCUGCUCCUGCAAAACCUGGAGUCGGGUGAACUAGUUCUCUUGAAAUUAUACCUUCCUUUUAAUUUAAAGUUCUUGAUUUACUUGAUAACAUUAAAUUGCCUUGAAGCCCUCUUCGGAACUUUAGGACUCAAGAAGCCCAAAUGAACAAACAGGACAUCUAGAUUCGGCUUUAGAUUAGUCAGGUUAAUACUCACUUUGGCCUUGUCAAUUCCGACCGGUUUCCUUUUCCUCAAUUAUGAUAGGUAGGUCUGGCGUUGCUACUUACAAAUUCGGUUAGGUCGGGCUAACAUUACUAAAAUCUUGCUUUGAUCAUCUGCACAAUCCAUGAGCUCUGUCUUGAGGGCAGUGCUAGGCCUCGAAUAGUCAGUUAUUCUAGUUCAGCAUCGGCCUUUUUUCGAAAUGGAUCUCAAUCUGUUCGGCAGGUGAAUCAAGGGAAGUAGUUUGAUCUUCAAUGGGAUCUAUAUUGGUUAUUGUUUGCUCUUAUAAUGUACAAAGUAUUUAUACCCAGAUAACUCAACAUGAAUGGCCAACAUAAGGUCCAAGAUGUGCUUAUUUCCAAUCAACCUGCACCUUCAGAAGAGCUUUUUAAUGUGAUUUAUGACUCGAAGGUUAAAGCUUGCUUUUUAAUGUUUGUGCUCAUCAGUUUUUCCUUGCAUCCAUUCAGGCGGCAAAUUUCCUGGAAAUUCCAACUUUGCUGGACUUGGGCUGCCAGACUGUGGCAGACAUGAUCAAGGGUAAGACUCCGGAUGAGAUAAAAAAAACUUUCGAGAUCACGACCGCAUGCACACCGGAAGAGGAAGAAGAGGCGCGUAGGGAGAACCAGUGGGUAUUUGAAUGAAGCCCCAUAGAAUUCAGGGUCUUGUGUUAUAUGAGACAUUGGCUCGUUAAAAGUUUGCUUCUGGCAAAGUGAACUCUUCGGUGAGUUUUUCUGACAUGAUAUGGUUGAAUGUUCAAGUGAAAAUUUCACGUAUUCAAUACUUAGGGAGGGUUUGAUCUUCCAGCAUAUUCUUGUACACGAGGACCCUGUAAAGUAGAAGUUUUGAGAUACAUGUAUGAGUUGUUUUAAAAAGAAAAAUCCCACGUCAAAUAAUUAGUGUGGCGUGGACUAAUUUAUAUAUUUUAGUUGACUCAUAAUUUAUUGACUUAAACUUUCUGAGUAAAGAUAGGUCCAAUUAGAUAUAUUGACGGGUUUGGAUUUGGUGAUCAAGUCUAGAUCCUGAUGGCAAUUCCCAACACGAUGGGAUGGAGAUUUAAGUUGAGAAGAAAGAUACCUAAAUUAAGGGGAGUAUACUUAAUACUAGGCUCGGACUUGGGUGAGAAAAUUGGUCAAAAAAUCUUAAACAUAUUGCAUUUUUGCCAAUUCUUUCUAAACCUUUUAAUUUUACCGAUUUAAGUCUUAAAAUUUUUUAUGUUUCACUAAUUGAAUUCAUCCGAUCAAUUUUAUCUGGAAAUCGCUAACGUAAAAUUCAUGUAGUGUGGGAUAAGUUAAUAUAUCCUUGUUUGGGCUGGGAUAUGGGUGGGAAAAUUGUUUAAAAAGUCUUAAACCUAAAUUCAAUUUUAUAUUUUACAAUUUUACUAAUUGAGUCCUAAACUUUUUCACGUUUUACCAAUUGAGUUCAUUUAACUAAUUUUGUCCAAAAAUUGCUAACAUGAACACCGGUCAUCCAACAUGACACGAUCGGCGAUCACAUUGACUUAGGGGUAGCACUAAGCCUCGAAUCUAUCGUCUUUGUUCGUUAUGGAACUCAUUCCAUUUGGUGGAUGAAUCAAGUCAAGUAGUUUGUUCUUCAAUGGGAUCUAUUGUCUUUUCUUUGCUUUGAUCAUGUAUAAGUAUUUAUACCCAUAUAACUCAACAUGAAUGACCAACAUAAGGUCCAAGAUGUGCUUUAAGUCCGAUCGACCUGAACCUUCGAAGAGCUUUUAUAUGUGAUUUAUAAGUUGAAUGCAAAAGCUUGUGUUUUUAUGUUUUUGCUCAUCAGUUUUCCUCGCAUCCAUUCAGGCAGCAAAUUUCUUGGAAAUUCCAACCUUGCUAGACUUGGCCUCUACGGUAGUGGCAGACAUGAUGAAGGGUAAAACGCCAGUUGAGAUAUGCAAAAUUUUCAAUAUCAACGAUACAUUCUCACCUGAAGAGGAAGAAGAGGUGUGUAGGGCGAACCAGCGGGCAUUUGAAUGAAGCCUCGGUGAAUUCCUAGGUCCUAUAAUAUGUCUGUAUCACUGGUUCAAUGAAACAACCUCUCACCUUUAACUCUAGGUAAACGCUCCUUAUAUGAGGAUACUUGUAAGAAUUAGGGUUAGAGAAGAGAUUUGAGUACUAUUUAUGGAGUUUUUAACUAGAUCCUCUCAUUACGGGUCAGGCUCAAUUCGGCCCACACUAGCCAGUCCCAUAUUUAUACUAAUUAAUAAACCUUCUAUUUCACCUUAGUCCAAAUUCUGUAAAACAGUAAAUUACAAUGUCAAUUAAUGUAGUCCACAUUAGAAAAACUCUUACAUUCUCCCACUUGGGCUGUAUUAAUUGAAAUUGUAUUGUAUGUGCAUUAGAAAAACUCUUACAUUCUCCCACUUGGGCUGUAUUAAUUGAAAUUGUAUUGUAUGUGCGCACAUUGGUCUAUAGAUAAUUUCACAGAGCCUUCCACGGUCACGAGUGCUUUUAACUUGCAUAUAUACACACAGAGCAUUCCACGGUCACGAGUGCUUUUAACUUUAUUGAUAUUGAUUCAAUAUGGUAGUAUGACAUAUGGAUAACAUCUAUCAUAGAGAUCCCAUUUGUCAAUCACCAUUCUCUUACCUUAAGUGGCAAAAAACUUGUGCCACUAGAUAAUGUGUUUAUGGUUCUAAUGAACUCAUAUAUGUCUUGUCCUUAUGGUUAACAUUUCUUUAUGUAUAACAAGACAUAUGUAUAAGGCUAAUAAUUAGAUACCCCUAACAUUCACCAGAGGUUUAAGCAAUAUAUUGAGACUUUUAAUAAUAUAUAUAUAUAUAUUCAACAUAAUAACAAUUCAUUCAAAAAUAUUUUAUUGAAUGCAAAAGUUGACACAUAUAUAUUAAAGUGUUACUAAAUUGUAACAGAAACUUUAUUCAAGAAAAAAAAAAACACAACUUCCACUAAAUAACAGCAUUCCGAGAUGUUCCUAGGCUCAUGCUAAUGACAUGUCGCUCAAAUACACACGGGCGUAGGCCUUUAGUUAGUGGAUCUGCAACCAUAUCAUCUGUAGGAAUAUGAUCUACUGCAACGUCACCAUUCUGCAUUGAUUCCUUUAUAGUAAAAAACUUGACCUCUAUAUGUUUAGACCCCUCAAGACUUCUGUUGUUAUUAAUAAACAACACUGUAGAAGUAUUGUCACAAUAUAGCUAUAUGGACCUAUCUACAAAAUCAAAAACUGAUAAUUUCCUAAUGAGGUUCCAUAGCCAAAUAGCUUAACUAGCAGCUGAAAAACAUGUUACAAACUCCGCUUACAUGGUAGAAGAAGAUAUGGAUUUUUAUUUCUCGCUCUUCCAUGAUACUGCACCUCCUCCCAACAUAAAUAUGUAUCCUGUCGUUGACUUCUUAUCACCUUAACAACCAGCAAAAUCUGCAUCUGAAUACCUUGCUAAUUGGAAGUCUGGGACAUAUCUAUAAAUCAGCAUAUAAUCUCUUGUUUUGUUUAUUUUGUUGCCUUAAUAUGGGUUGGACAUUGGCUCGAUGAAUGUUUACUUCUCACGCGGUGAAAACUUAUGUGAGUUUUUCUGAUAUGAUACGGAAUGAAUAGUCAAGCAAUAAUUUUACGGAUUUAAUACUUAAUGAGGGUUUGAUAUCCUAGUGUGUGCUUGCAUCUUGGUGAGGACUCCAGGAAACAGGAUGAAUAUGAGCUACUUUGCUAAAGGAAAGCCAUGAAUAUUGCUGCUAGUUGGUGCUGUUGUUGCCUUACGCAAAGGAUGAGAUGUCCUGUGCCUUGAACAAGACUUGAAAUCUAGAAUCCCUGGGAAAACGAGCCAUGUCAUGACAAGCGUAUGGAAUUGAGUUUUGAAACCUACCAAUUGUAGAGUGAGAAGUCAAAGAGACUUAAAAUUCGAUGAAAGUAUCGCACAAUCGAUUGUGACCAAAUGCCUGAUGCAGUGCCUUUUCCUUGGGCAUAUGAAAGAGUACCGGACACUUGGAGUGCUAAAACUUAACACGAAAAGAUAAUUAAGUGUUAAAAGUUAGGAAAGUAAUACUUAAGUGCUAAAAUUAGAGUAAAUAGAUAACUUAAGUGUUAAUUCGACCAAAAUGCCGAUAUGGCAAUUUUCCGGCGAAAUAAAUGUAAAAUGGCAACGUUUUGCAAGCUGAUGUGGGUAGUCAAUGUAAAAACGACAGUUGUUUUUGUGGUGACAUGGUAAAGAAAUAAUAUAAAAACUAAUUAAAUUAAAUUUUAAAAUAAAUUUAUUUAAAACAUUCGAAAAUAACAAUACAAAUAUUAAAAAAUUAAUUUAAAAAAAGGAGGCAGGCGGCGAGGGCUCAGCUCUUAGCUGCCCCCUUCCCUUUUUUUUUUUAAGUUUUAGUUUUUCUUAAAAUAUUUUAACAUUUUUAUUUUUAAUUGUUUUAAAUAAAUUUAUUUUUAAUUUAAUUUAAUUAAUUUUAUAUUAAUUUUUUUACCACAUUAGCACCAAAACGACGUCAUUUUUGUAUUGUCUAGUCAUGUCAGCGUGCAAAACGUCGCCGUUUCGCACUUACUUAGCUGGAGAAUCACCAUGUCAACAUUUUGGUUGGAUUGACACUUAAGUAAUUCAUUUUGUUCCGAUUUUGGCAAUUAAGUGUCAUUUUCCUAACUUUUGGCACUUGAGUCUCUUCGUGCCGAGUUUUGGCACUUAGGGUGUACUUCUGCCGCAUAUGAAAGAUAAAAAACCUUUGAUGUGCAUUCCAUGCUCGUAAAAUAAGCUUGUCAAAUAUAUUUUUUCAAUAAACGUGAAAUGUAAGGCCAUCGGAGGUUGAUGAGAGUUUUUGUGAUGAAUAAAAGGAAAGACUAUCAAAUAUAUUUUUCGAUGUCGUGUGGCAUAGCUUACAAGAGAAAUAAAUGCUGAUGAUCGUAUAAAUUCUCUAUCUUCAGUUCAAUCAAAGGUUGUACCUAAAUCAUUCGUGUUUGGUAUUACGAUUUGAAGACUAGUGAUGGCAAGUAAUGAAAUUUCUACUAACUAAACCUUAAAAGGUUAUUCAUGUGUUUCUCGAGAGGUGAAAAAUCCAGUCAAUUGGAUGCUAAAAAGUUCUAAAGAAGCUAAAACUAGAAAAAUGAACCUACAUAUAAAUCAUAUAUAGACCACAUAAAGUAUUGAAAUUCUCAUAUUUCCAUUAAAAUCAAGAUCGUUCUCAUCAUAUAUUUCUCUAAAAGUUUUGUUCCUUCAAAAUAUAAUUGAAUUGCACAACUGCCCCAUUAAGAAUUAGAUACAUGUCUAAGUGGUCCAUGAUCUACAUAUUAUUCUCGCAAUUUUUAAUAUGAUCCCAUUGAGUUUAAGCUUAAAAAUGAAAAGAAAAAAGAAAGAAGGUAGGAUAAAUUAGAUGGCUGAUGGGAUUGACUUUAUUUUUUUUUUCGCUUAAUUAAAAAUUCCUGAUUCAUGCAUUUGAAAUUUUUCUAAAUUUGAAACGCUUUGAAACUUCUACAAAAUACAAAGGGCUAAUACCCGGAAAAAUCCCAAACUGAUACACGUGUGAUAAAUUUAUUAUAAACUAAUUUUUUGACCAUGAAAAUCCUAAACUGGUACACCUAUGAUAAAUUUACCCAACUGAUUAUAAAAAAUCAUAAACUAAUAUGUUUGUGACAAAUUUACCUUAAACUAAUUUAUUCGACUACCAAAAACGCUAAAUUGAUUCAUUUAUGAUAAAUAUAUCAUCUAUUAAAUUAGAUUAAUAUAAAAAAAUUACAAAAAUUAUAUAACUAUGAUAAACAAAGAGUGAAAUCUCAAAUCGGUAUACUAGUCAACUGUCACGUGUCAUUUAACUUAAUAAUUUGACAAUAAAAUUUAAUAAAAAUUAAUUGAUGGUAAAUUUAUCACAAAUAUACCGGUUUUGGGUAAAUUUGUUAAAUGUGUAUUGGUUUAGAGUUUUUGAUAGUAAAAAAAUUAGUUUGAGAUAAAUUUAUCAUAUAUACCGGUUUAGGUUUUUCAUAGCAUUAAUCCAAAUACAAAUAUCGAUAGUAAUUUGUUUUGUAAUUUUAUAAAAUAUUUAAUAUCUUAACGGAAGGGCAGAAUAAUACAAACAGCCCCGGUUAAUCUCUCUCCGAAUUGGUUCUUCUCCACGUCUCUCUCUCUCUCUCUCUCUCAACGACGAAGCAAGCCAUCCAUGUCGUCUCCUCCCUCCGCCUCCGCCUCCUCCUCGCCGCCGCCGUGCCCGAAGAAGAUGAUCACCCUGAGAAGCUCCGACGGGGCGACCUUCGAGAUCGAGGAGACCGCCGCCUUGCAGUCCAAGACCCUCGAGAACAUGAUCCACGAGAACUGCGCCAGCACCCCGAUCCCGGUGCCGAACAUCACCGGCGAAGUCCUGGCCAGAGUCGUGGAGUUCUGCAGCAAGCACGCC